UUGCCGGUGAUGAAAUCAGUUAUAAAACACACCAUCUUUCGGGACUGAAUGGCUUUUAUGCCUUGCUGACUAUCUGCAAUUCUGAGGCAA